UCUGCAUUAUGUUACAGGGGACAUUUAAAUGGAAAUUAGUGUAUGAACUCUGUUGCGCCCCACGAUGGAGGUCGAGUCGAAGGCGCGUUGUCGUGUGAAAAUGUUUGGGCAACUGCAACGCACAGUAACAAGCCGCCCAGCUUCGAGACCGAGUCCAGCGCUGAACAAUAGAAAAAGGUCGCUGAGGGAUCGGGCAGGCUGCGGCACCCUGAAAUCUUCUUAAGCCGGAUUUGCUUAUGUUGUCAGAAGUCUGUGGGCCACUCUAUUUAAACUCUAAGUGACGGAGCCAGUGAAAUGCUUGGCAGAAAUUCCGGCGAGUCGACAGUUCUGAAGGAAAUGUUCGCCAACAUUAUCGUUUGGCACUGUCUUAAUCAUCGAGUAGAUGGGUUGCUAGUAGCUUCAGAAGCGUUAAAUUGGUAUGGAAUAAUUAUCCCGUACUUGAAAAACAUUUCGAAUCAGCUUCUCAAGAUAAUAAAAGAACGGCAUCUGAAAAAGAAAAAUACACCGGCUUGCUAAGCAGAAUGC